rnacentral:rRNA from 1 species
AAAUUGAAGAGUUUGAUCAUGGCUCAGAUUGAACGCUGGCGGCAGGCCUAACACAUGCAAGUCGAGCGGUAGCACAGAGAGCUUGCUCUCGGGUGACGAGCGGCGGACGGGUGAGUAAUGUCUGGGAAACUGCCUGAUGGAGGGGGAUAACUACUGGAAACGGUAGCUAAUACCGCAUAAUGUCGAAAGACCAAAGUGGGGGACCUUCGGGCCUCAUGCCAUCAGAUGUGCCCAGAUGGGAUUAGCUAGUAGGUGGGGUAACGGCUCACCUAGGCGACGAUCCCUAGCUGGUCUGAGAGGAUGACCAGCCACACUGGAACUGAGACACGGUCCAGACUCCUACGGGAGGCAGCAGUGGGGAAUAUUGCACAAUGGGCGCAAGCCUGAUGCAGCCAUGCCGCGUGUGUGAAGAAGGCCUUCGGGUUGUAAAGCACUUUCAGCGGGGAGGAAGGCGGUGAGGUUAAUAACCUCAUCGAUUGACGUUACCCGCAGAAGAAGCACCGGCUAACUCCGUGCCAGCAGCCGCGGUAAUACGGAGGGUGCAAGCGUUAAUCGGAAUUACUGGGCGUAAAGCGCACGCAGGCGGUCUGUCAAGUCGGAUGUGAAAUCCCCGGGCUUAACCUGGGAACUGCAUUCGAAACUGGCAGGCUAGAGUCUUGUAGAGGGGGGUAGAAUUCCAGGUGUAGCGGUGAAAUGCGUAGAGAUCUGGAGGAAUACCGGUGGCGAAGGCGGCCCCCUGGACAAAGACUGACGCUCAGGUGCGAAAGCGUGGGGAGCAAACAGGAUUAGAUACCCUGGUAGUCCACGCCGUAAACGAUGUCGAUUUGGAGGUUGUGCCCUUGAGGCGUGGCUUCCGGAGCUAACGCGUUAAAUCGACCGCCUGGGGAGUACGGCCGCAAGGUUAAAACUCAAAUGAAUUGACGGGGGCCCGCACAAGCGGUGGAGCAUGUGGUUUAAUUCGAUGCAACGCGAAGAACCUUACCUGGUCUUGACAUCCACAGAACUUUCCAGAGAUGGAUUGGUGCCUUCGGGAACUGUGAGACAGGUGCUGCAUGGCUGUCGUCAGCUCGUGUUGUGAAAUGUUGGGUUAAGUCCCGCAACGAGCGCAACCCUUAUCCUUUGUUGCCAGCGGUUCGGCCGGGAACUCAAAGGAGACUGCCAGUGAUAAACUGGAGGAAGGUGGGGAUGACGUCAAGUCAUCAUGGCCCUUACGACCAGGGCUACACACGUGCUACAAUGGCAUAUACAAAGAGAAGCGACCUCGCGAGAGCAAGCGGACCUCAUAAAGUAUGUCGUAGUCCGGAUUGGAGUCUGCAACUCGACUCCAUGAAGUCGGAAUCGCUAGUAAUCGUAGAUCAGAAUGCUACGGUGAAUACGUUCCCGGGCCUUGUACACACCGCCCGUCACACCAUGGGAGUGGGUUGCAAAAGAAGUAGGUAGCUUAACCUUCGGGAGGGCGCUUACCACUUUGUGAUUCAUGACUGGGGUGAAGUCGUAACAAGGUAACCGUAGGGGAACCUGCGGUUGGAUCACCUCCUUACCUUAAAGAA